rnacentral:rRNA from 1 species
UACGUAGGGGGCAAGCGUUGUCCGGAUUUACUGGGCGUAAAGAGCGUGUAGGCGGCCACGCAGGUCCGUUGUGAAAACUGGAGGCUCAACCUCCAGACGUCGACGGAAACCGUAUGGCUAGAGUCCGGAAGAGGAGAGUGGAAUUCCUGGUGUAGCGGUGAGAUGCGCAGAUAUCAGGAAGAACACCAAUGGCGAAGGCAGCUCUCUGGGACGGUACUGACGCUGAGGCGCGAAAGCGUGGGGAGCGAACAGG